rnacentral:rRNA from 1 species
UACGAAGGGGACUAGCGUUGUUCGGAUUUACUGGGCGUAAAGCGCGCGUAGGCGGAUCGCUAAGUCAGGGGUGAAAUCCCAGGGCUCAACCCUGGAACUGCCUUUGAUACUGACGAUCUGGAGAUCGGGAGAGGUUGGUGGAAUUCCGAGUGUAGAGGUGAAAUUCGUAGAUAUUCGGAGGAACACCAGAAGCGAAGGCGGCCAACUGGCCCGAUACUGACGCUGAAGCUCGAAAGCUAGGGGAGCAAACGGG